rnacentral:rRNA from 1 species
CUCAGAUUGAACGCUGGCGGAAUGCUUUACACAUGCAAGUCGAACGGUAACAGGUCUUCGGAUGCUGACGAGUGGCGAACGGGUGAGUAAUAUAUCGGAACGUGCCCAGUCGUGGGGGAUAACGUAGCGAAAGUUACGCUAAUACCGCAUACGAUCUACGGAUGAAAGCGGGGGAUCGCAAGACCUCGCGCGAUUGGAGCGGCCGAUAUCAGAUUAGGUAGUUGGUGGGGUAAAGGCUCACCAAGCCAACGAUCUGUAGCUGGUCUGAGAGGACGACCAGCCACACUGGAACUGAGACACGGUCCAGACUCCUACGGGAGGCAGCAGUGGGGAAUUUUGGACAAUGGACGCAAGUCUGAUCCAGCCAUUCCGCGUGCAGGAUGAAGGCCCUCGGGUUGUAAACUGCUUUUGUACGGAACGAAAAGGUUUCCAUUAAUACUGGGAGCUCAUGACGGUACCGUAAGAAUAAGCACCGGCUAACUACGUGCCAGCAGCCGCGGUAAUACGUAGGGUGCAAGCGUUAAUCGGAAUUACUGGGCGUAAAGCGUGCGCAGGCGGUUAUAUAAGACAGAUGUGAAAUCCCCGGGCUCAACCUGGGAACUGCAUUUGUGACUGUAUAGCUAGAGUACGGUAGAGGGGGAUGGAAUUCCGCGUGUAGCAGUGAAAUGCGUAGAUAUGCGGAGGAACACCGAUGGCGAAGGCAAUCCCCUGGACCUGUACUGACGCUCAUGCACGAAAGCGUGGGGAGCAAACAGGAUUAGAUACCCUGGUAGUCCACGCCCUAAACGAUGUCAACUGGUUGUUGGGUCUUCACUGACUCAGUAACGAAGCUAACGCGUGAAGUUGACCGCCUGGGGAGUACGGCCGCAAGGUUGAAAC